rnacentral:rRNA from 1 species
GGAUCAGACGUGAUUACCCGCUGAACUUAAGCAUAUCACUAAGCGGAGGAAAAGAAACUAACCAGGAUUCCCUAGUACUGCGAGUGAAGAGGGAUUAGCCCAGCACCGAAGCCUGCGGUCAUUUGACUGCUAGGCAAUGUGGUGUUUAGGUUGGUUCUUGGCAUUACUGCUCCACCCUAAGUCCAGCAAUGAGUACGGCUUACUGGAUUGGCCCAUUGAGGGUGAAAGGCCCGUGUGGGUGGAGACCCAGAUUGUCAGUUUUGCCCUGAAUUAACCUUGGAGUCGGGUUGUUUGUGAAUGCAGCCCAAAGUGGGUGGUAAACUCCAUCUAAGGCUAAAUACUGGCACGAGUCCGAUAGCGAACAAGUACCGUGAGGGAAAGUUGAAAAGUACUUUGAAGAGAGAGUAAACAGUUCGUGAACCCGCUCAGAGGUAAACGGGUGGAGUUGAACUGGAAGCCCUGGGGAUUCAGCUGAUGAGUAUGGCAUGAGCUUGGGCAUAUUGGUCGGCUUUCAGAGUCCGCUUAGCUGCGGGUCCUUGCCCUAACGGGUUUGGAUGUGCGUUACGCUCAUUAGGCGUUGUGCGCUCUGUCUGUUCCGGGCCUGCUCGUCAGUGCACUUCCUCAGGGUGUUCACCACGACCGGCGCUGCUGUCUGUCUGUUGCGGUCAAACCGGUUGGGCUUAGUCAUUUUGGCUAAGUUUGAUCGGGAUGGCAGGUAGCUCUUGAGAUUUUCUGGCUUCGGCUAGUAGAGCUCUUGAGUGUAAUUAGCCGACUGUAAUGGAUCUGUGCAGUGCGUCGGAGCUGGCGGCUUUGGUGUGUGUACGCGUGCUGUACCUUGCUGGCUUGGUCAAGUUUGGUUAAUGUGUUACUUGCUUCGGUGGGUCUAUUAAUGGCUUGACUUUGCAUAGUGAGUGGUGGCGCGUGCGACGCUAUCUAGGGCCAAAAGUCUGUGGUGUUGUGGUAAACUAUCCACCCGACCCGUCUUGAAACACGGACCAAGGAGUUUAACAUGUACGCGAGUCAUUGGGCGUUACGAAACCCAAAGGCGUAGUGAAAGUAAAGGUUCGGCUUGUCCGAGCUGAGGUGAGAUCCUGCUGUUUCUCUGCCUUGGACUACCAAGCAUUCGAGCAGUAGGCGCAUCACCGGCCCGUCUCAUGAUGUAGUCAUAUGACCUUUGGUUGUGUGCACCUUCGGGGCGGAGCUAGAGCGUACACGUUGAGACCCGAAAGAUGGUGAACUAUGCCUGCGGAGGUUGAAGCCAGAGGAAACUCUGGUGGAGGACCGCAGCGAUUCUGACGCGCAAAUCGAUCGUCUAACGUGGGUAUAGGGGCGAAAGACUAAUCGAACCAUCUAGUAGCUGGUUCCCUCCGAAGUUUCCCUCAGGAUAGCUGGCAUUCUGAUAAAUAAACAGUUUUAUCCGGUAAAGCGAAUGAUUAGAGAUAUUGGGGAGAAAUCAUCCUCAACCUAUUCUCAAACUUUAAAUGGGUGAGAAGCUUUGCUCGCUUAAUUGGAGUAAGGCGUUGAAUGUGAGUGCCAAGUGGGCCAUUUUUGGUAAGCAGAACUGGCGCUGUGGGAUGAACCAAACGUUCGGAUAAGGUGCCUAACUCAACGCUCAUGAGAUACCACAAAAGGUGUUGGUUGGUCCAGACAGCAGGACGGUGGCCAUGGAAGUCGGAAACCGCUAAGGA